rnacentral:rRNA from 1 species
GUGCCAGCCGCCGCGGUAAUACAGAGGGUGCGAGCGUUGUCCGGAAUCACUGGGCGUAAAGGGCGCGUAGGUGGCUGGGUAAGUGUGCGGUGAAAGCCCGGGGCUCAACCCCGGGUCGGCCGUGCAGACUGCUUGGCUUGAGCAUAGUAGAGGCAGGUGGAAUUCCGGGUGUAGCGGUGGAAUGCGUAGAGAUCCGGAAGAACACCGGUGGCGAAGGCGGCCUGCUGGGCUAUUGCUGACACUGAGGCGCGACAGCGUGGGGAGCAAACAGGAUUAGAAACCCCCGUAGUCC